GACGAACGCUGGCGGCGUGCCUAAUACAUGCAAGUCGAACGAGAGCGACCGGUGCUUGCACUGGUCAAUCUAGUGGCGAACGGGUGAGUAACACGUGGGUAACCUGCCCAUCAGAGGGGGAUAACAUUCGGAAACGGAUGCUAAAACCGCAUAGGUCUUCGAACCGCAUGGUUUGAAGAGGAAAAGAGGCGCAAGCUUCUGCUGAUGGAUGGACCCGCGGUGCAUUAGCUAGUUGGUGAGGUAACGGCUCACCAAGGCCGUGAUGCAUAGCCGACCUGAGAGGGUGAUCGGCCACAUUGGAACUGAGACACGGCCCAAACUCCUACGGGAGGCAGCAGUAGGGAAUCUUCCGCAAUGGACGCAAGUCUGACGGAGCAACGCCGCGUGAGUGAAGAAGGUUUUCGGAUCGUAAAACUCUGUUGUUAGAGAAGAACAAGUGCUAGAGUAACUGUUAGCGCCUUGACGGUAUCUAACCAGAAAGCCACGGCUAACUACGUG
rnacentral:rRNA from 1 species